ensembl:lncRNA
CGCGGCUCCGGACCCCAGGCUGAGGCUGGCUAGAACGCUGCCCACCGACUCUAGGCGCUCGGGUCCCCGCCGGGCGACCUUGAACCUGGCGUGCUCGGUGAAGCCAGCACAGCCUCGGGAGCUGUAGAGACGCGGGACACAGGCAGAGCGUUCCUGCCCUCGGCCUAGGGGCUCGCCUCUGGCCCGGCUGGCCAUUCCCAGAGCACGCUGUCCCCCAGCUUUGGGAUCGCCAGCAGCCACGUCUAUGCUUCUAGAUCUCUUUUUUUUUUUUUUUUUUUUUGAGAUUUCAUUGAUAGCUGUUUAAGGAAUUAUAUGGAGGAAAUCUCUCCUCCGACCCCUGCCUCGGUUGUGAGCCCUGCCGGGUCGCUGGAUGGGCCAGGAGGAAAGGAAGGGGCGGGCAAGAAACAGCAAUUUUACUUUGAAUUUAAAUGACACAAAAAUAUUUUUUUCAACUCACAUUUUUCUGAGACAUCCCCAGAAAGCGUUGCCAGCUGUGAUUACAUCUAAUGUGAGAGCAGGAACUAAUUUAAGAGGUACCCAGCUUGCAGGAGUGCCAGAGUUAGAGUCCCAAGGUGUUCUUCAUGACCACAUGCUUGAUCCAGGCCUAUCAGGUGGACUCUUGCCCUCCACUCCUUCCGACUUGACGGUGAUACAGAGAACAUUCUCCAUCCUUCCGGUGAUUGCAUUCCUUCAUCUCUGUGGGGCCCCAGUGCAGAUGGAGCGGCUCUUGGGAGCAGCCUGGGCUUAUAGUGCAGCUCUCUGCUACCUGCAGCAGGCUGGUAUUCAGGGAGCUUGGAUGCACCACUGA